UCCUCAACUCUCCACAAACUACCCGAUCGCUCCUCCCACCAUCCCUUCCGAGAAAAAUCCCCCAUCACCGUCGCGCCAGCACCACCAGCACAGAACAACGCCUUGCUCCUCGCCCGCCCUCCGUGCUCUCCUCGCCGUCGCCGUCGUCGGCGGCCCACGCCCGUGAGGAGUUGGAAGCAGGUCCGGAGCAUCCGCGGUCCAGGAUGGCGGAGGACAUGGAGGCGCGGCGGGCGGCCUGCGAGCGCCGGCUCGACGCUUUCGGAGACCGAAAUCGCCGCCCUCCAGUCGUCCAUCCGCGCCUCCGCCCGCCAGGAGUUGGAAGUAGGUCCGGAGCAUCCGCGACCCAGUAUGGCGGAGGACAUGGAGGCGCAGCGGGCGGCGUUAGAGCGACGAUUAGCCGCCAGCCGAGACCGGUUCGCCUCCCUCAAGUCGUCCGUCACCCGCUCCGGCCCCCACCAGGUCCUCUGGCGUCGAGCUCGAUCCCCCGCCUUCCUGUCCUCUCCUACCCGUCCUCCGAUGAUAAAGGGAAGCAACACCACGCACCACAGAUCCAUGGUCCAUAUGGUCCAGGGAAGAAGAUGCGUGGGAGUAUGAAUGAUGGCUGGCGUUCUCCAUGACGAAUCAGGGUCGAGCACAGUGCGAGGGAGACACAGAGAUCGCAAAUAUCAGGGUCGAGCACAGUUCCACUUCGCCCUCUGGGAAUGGCCACAUCUAUCCCGCGAUUACUGUUGCGUGCCAUACUGUCAUUGCCCCAUCUGCCUCGAAGCCUUCAAAUACGAGGUAUUAUUUUCUUUGGACCAGAGAUUUCUUGUAACUAGAAAUUAACUGCUGUAGUUUUGUCCAAAAUCCAUUUUGUUACAUGGCCAUGACCCAGUGUGUAAAGAUCAAGAACAAAUAACUUUUGUGCUCUCUCUGUGAAGUAAUCUAUUGCAAUGUGAGCACUUAUUUUAUUGCUUCUCCAAUAGACAUACGGUUUGUGAAGCACUAUCUUAUACACAUUUGUCCGGUUCAACUUUUUGACCAUUUGUAAUGCGUGGUAAGAAAGAAAACUUGCCACUCUAUGUUUUAUACUUCUACCCCGUAGGAAAAAGACAUUCUAAGUUUGGGUAGUUUCACGUGAUGUCGAGAAGCAAACUUGGUUCACCACACCCCAAAAUAUUCAUCUUUCUACCAUUUUCUAUUGAUUAGUGCAAAGGACUAUUUUAGUGAAGUUGACCAGAUAUUAUUUAUACUUGAAAUAGAGUUAGUCCUGCUCCUGGACAUAUUCUAUCCUUGUAAUUCUCUCAGACUGUUGAGAGUGUAUCUAUGUUCAUGCUUUGGACUCUGAAUCAUUUCAGCGGUAGUAUAGAGCAUGAUGACUCAGGGAACAGGCCAGUAUCAAUUUCUUUGUGCAUGUCUGCAUUUGACAGUAGCCACUAGGCCACUAGCAUGUUUCACUAUGCUGAUUAAAACUAAAAUUGGUUCAAGUAUGAAUUAAUGUAGUUUUCUCAAUUUUAUUAUGUUGCAAGCAUCUUGUAGAUGCACAUGAGUUGAUACCACAGUUCGAUAAUCCAAGAGGCAUUGUAUUAAUUUGGAUUACUAUUUACUUCUCUAAUCAUAGUUAUAGAAUUAGUCCCAUGUAUCGAGAAGCCUUGUUUUUUCUAACAGUGAUGGCUACUGCAGAGAUUCAGAUGAUGCCUUUAGUCUGCUUCAAUACCGGAAGCAACAGAAGUAUCUUUGGAAGAAUAUUGUGUCAAUUUGGAUUACUAUUUACUUCUGUGAUAACAGUUUUAGAAUUAGUCCCAUGUAUUUAGAAGCCUUGUCUUUUUCUAACACUGGUGGUUACCGCAGAGAUUUCAGAUACAUUCAGUAUGCUUCAAUGCAGGAAGCAAUGGAAGUACCUUUGGAAGAAUAUUGUGUUAAUUUGGAUUACUAUUUACUUCUCUAAUCAUAGUUUUAGAAUUAGUCCCAUGUAUCGAGAAACCUUUUUUUCUAACACGGAUGGUUACUACAGAGAUUUUAGAUCGCAUGUUUGGUACGCUUCAAUACUGGAAGCAACGGAAGUAUCUUUGGAAGAAUUAUGUGGCUUGAAACUUGGAUGAAAUAGGAAAUUCAGGCCUUACAUAGGUGUUAACUAUCUAGGUCAAGCAAAACACCUAGCUGCACCCCACCUUGUUGUGACUGUAGAUAAAUUAGUGAAGAUGCUGCCAUCAUAGUGCCUUUUAGAUUGUAUAAGUGUGUUAAUCAUACAGAGUUUUUUCCGGUUCAUUCACUAGAUGACAUAUGUGUUGUAUAUCGAUACAAGAAAUAUAUUAUCAUAUUUGUUUUCGCCCUACAGUAAAAUUAUGUACUCCACUUCAUAUAUGAUAUCUUUUUUUGGAUGUUGAGGAUUCCAGCCACAAGGAUAGAUGAGCUAUACUACCUUUGAGUUCCUUCUAAAAGAAUGCAGGCCACACGAAAACGUAUCAUAAAACAACUAUCAAGCUGAAAUCUUCACAUUGGGAUACAUAAAAUAGGAUGUCUAUGAAUAACUAAAUGUGUUGUAUAGUUAGCAUAUUUCAAUGACUUCCAAAAUUUGUUUUUUUCUGAAAUUUACAGCCAUAUGAGCUCACACAUAAGAAAUCUGCAGCCAGACACAUGUCUGUUUACUACAAUUCUUUUUCUGUAAACACAUGUUUGUGUAGCACAAAUGCUUAACAAUAAGUGAGAUGUAUGCUCCAAAAAUGAGAUGUCGUCAUAUAUUUUCAAGUUAUUGGUGGAGUUUUCGUAACAUAUUAAAUGUUCCAGUAAAGUCUUAUUAUGAUUCUACGGCUACAAAUAAAGUAUAUUAGCCAUGUUUUGCAUCUUGCAUAUUGAUUUCUUUUCACAUCAUUGUAAGAUGCUCUACUAUACGUACUGUGAGCAGUCUGCUUUUAUUUUUACGCCUAAUGGGGUUGCGUAACUCAGUAAUGAAUUGGAAAGGAAGUGGCGCGCAGUGACAAUGUUUUGUAAAAUGAGGAACAACUAAUGACGCUAAUUAAAUGUUCCAAAAUUUGUUUUUUCUGAAAUUUACAGCCAUAUGAGCUCAUACAUGAUAAAUGUGCAGCCAGACACAUGUCUGCUUACUACAAUUCUUUUUCUGUAAUCAAAUGUUUGUGUUGCACAAAUUCUUAACAAUAAGUGAGAUGUAUGCUCCAAAAAUGAGAUGUUGUCAUAUAUUUUCAUGUUAUUGGUGGAAUUUUUGUAACAUAUUAAAUGUUCCAGUGAAGUCUUAUUAUGAUUCUACAACUACAAAUAAAGUAUAUUAGCCAUGUUUUGCAUCUUGCAUAUUGAUUUCUGUUCACACCAUUCUAAGAUGCUCUACUAUACAUAGUGUGAGCAGUCUGCUUUUAUUUGUAUGCCUAAUGGGAUUACGUAGCUCAGUAAAGAAUUGGGAAAGGGAGUGGCGCCCAAUGACGAUGUUUUUGUAAAAUGAGGAACAACUAACGAUGCUAAUUUUUUCUCCCGUUGCAAAGCACGGACAAGUUUGCUGAUAGAUAUGUGUGUAGGCAAUGGUGGGCAAUGGCGCCGAUGGUCAGGCAGAGGAAAACAAGGAAUGUGAAGACAUGCGGCGCAUCAGUGUGUCUCGGCGAUUCCGUAGGCAGUCGCCCUCCCCUGUCGCGGUCUCCUUGGGGUCCGGAAGCUUCUCAAGGGCAUCGUCCUUGGUGUUCCUCCUCGAGGCUUGAUGCUUUCUACAGGAAAAAAUGGUUCAUUUUCUGAGAGAAAGUAUUAUCUUUGCAAUGUGGUUGUCAAUGUAUAUCUUCUUUGUCCUCUGCCAGCCCCGUCCAAGAGCUCUCAUCAUCCGUCGGACAUGAUCUCCCACCCUCCACCAACCCCUGCCAUGAGCCAAUACCCUACGCCGGCCAUGUCUUGUCCUUCGGAGCACUCAAUGAUAACUUGGUGUUGAAGCUCAUGUGUUGGAUGAACCUAACAUGCCUUUUUUGCCUACAUUUUGCUAGGAGAUUAUCAUUUUAUCUCCAAAAAUUAUAGUUAUUCUGAAUAUUUAUGUAUGAAUAUGGAUUGGAUGAAACGGCCAUGGUUGAAUUCAUUUCUCAAACGGAAAUUGCAAGAAUAAUGUUUCUUA